UACGGGGGGGGCAAGCGUUGUUCGGAAUUACUGGGCGUAAAGGGCUCGUAGGUGGCCAACUAAGUCAGACGUGAAAUCCCCGGGCUCAACCCGGGAACUGCGUCCGAUACUGGGAGGCUUGAAUCCGGGAGAGGGAUGCGGAAUUCCAGGUGUAGCGGUGAAAUGCGUAGAUAUCUGGAGGAACACCGGUGGCGAAGGCGGCAUCCUGGACCGGCAUUGACGCUGAGGCGCGAAAGCCAGGGGAGCAAACGGG
rnacentral:rRNA from 1 species